rnacentral:rRNA from 1 species
AGAACGAACGCUGGCGGCAGGCUUAACACAUGCAAGUCGAGCGCCCCGCAAGGGGAGCGGCAGACGGGUGAGUAACACGUGGGAACGUACCCUUUACUACGGAAUAACGCAUGGAAACGUGUGCUAAUACCGUAUGUGCCCUUUGGGGGAAAGAUUUAUCGGUAAAGGAUCGGCCCGCGUUGGAUUAGCUAGUUGGUGGGGUAAAGGCCUACCAAGGCGACGAUCCAUAGCUGGUCUGAGAGGAUGAUCAGCCACAUUGGGACUGAGACACGGCCCAAAACUCCUACGGGAGGCAGCAGUGGGGAAUAUUGGACAAUGGGCGCAAGCCUGAUCCAGCCAUGCCGCGUGAGUGAUGAAGGCCCUAGGGUUGUAAAGCUCUUUCACCGGAGAAGAUAAUGGACGGUAUCCGGAGAAGAAGCCCGGCUAACUUCGCGCCAGCAGCCGC